UUAGGAUGAGAAACAUAGCUGGCACCAGGCUGAGAAGAUUUGUACUCUUUACAUGCGGAACAGCUUUCCAGGGCUUUGAGCCUAUAAUCUGAA
rfam:Capronia epimyces CBS 606.96 aczIQ-supercont1.1, whole genome shotgun sequence.